GACGAACGCUGGCGGCGUGCUUAACACAUGCAAGUCGAGCGGUAAGGCCCUUUCGGGGUGCUGACGAGUGGCGGACGGGUGAGUAAUGCUUAGGAAUCUGCCUGGGUGGUGGGGAUAACCCGGGGAAACUCGGGCUAAUACCGCAUCCGCCUCCCAUCAUAUCGGGUGGGAGGGAAAGCGGGGGACCUUCGGGCCUCGCGCCAUCAGAUGAGCCUAAGUCCGAUUAGCUAG
rnacentral:rRNA from 1 species